CCUACGGGAGGCAGCAGUGGGGAAUAUUGGGCAAUGGGCGCAAGCCUGACCCAGCAACGCCGCGUGAAGGAAGAAGGCUUUCGGGUUGUAAACUUCUUUUGUCAGGGAAGAGUAGAAGACGGUACCUGACGAAUAAGCCACGGCUCACGACGUGCCAGCAGCCGCGGUAAUACGUAGGUGGAAAGCGUUGUCCGGAUUUACUGGGUGUAAAGGGCGUGUAGCCGGGUUGACAAGUCAGAUGUGAAAUCCUGCGGCUUAACCGCAGAACUGCAUUUGAAACUGUUGAUCUUGAGUACUGGAGAGGCAGAUGGAAUUCCUAGUGUAGCGGUGAAAUGCGUAGAUAUUAGUAGGAACACCAGUGGCGAAGGCGGUCUGCUGGACAGCAACUGACGGUGAGGCGCGAAAGCGUGGGGAGCAAACAGGAUUAGAUACCCUAGUAGUC
rnacentral:rRNA from 1 species